GGUACGCGGGGCUCUCACUGUUGUGGCCUCUCCCGUUGCGGAGCACAGGCUCCGGACGCGCAGGCUCAGCGGCCAUGGCUCACGGGCCCAGCCGCUCCGCGGCAUGUGGGAUCCUCCCGGACCGGGGCACGAACCCGUGUCCCCUGCAUCGGCAGGCGGACUCUCAACCACUGCGCCACCAGGGAAGCCCCAGAGAGUUUUUAAAAAGGAAUUUCUCAGUGCUUCAUACUCUGACUUGAUAAGUGAGAGGUGAGGCACAAUGAUUUAUAAAUACAUUUUAAAGCUCUCCUGGUCUUUCUAAUGUUGAGCCAGUUUGGGAAACUGCCCUUUGAGGAUGUUACAGGUGAAAACAGUAUUUGUAUGCAUUUAUCCUUGGAAACACAUCAGUUAAAAACAGGGAAAUAAGGUAGUAAAUAACUUACUUGACUCCUGGGAAUUUUGUGAGGGACCUGGACACUGGGAGAUUUCUUGGCUUACCUCCAUAAACAGUACUGAGUGAAUUCAUUACUCGCGUGUUUGGGUUUGGAACAGGCUCAUAUAAAUAGUUACAGGUCCUAAAAUAGCUUUGACUAUCACUGACCUGCCACUGAACCGCUCCCUGCAUCUUAAUUCUCACAGUCAUGUGAGCCAAGCGCGAGUGGCCUGGGUCCAUGUCCUCCCUCCCGUGUUAAAGACUGUGAGUGCCCACCUUAUCUAUGGAUCGUAGAUAUUGUUGUGAUGGUGCCUUCCAAAUAGGUUAAACAUGUAGUCAUUCUGUUUGGCAAUAUAACGUGUGAUUUCAGGAUGCUUUGACCCGUGGUUAAAGUCUUGUGUGCCUGUGAGACCAACCCUUGGUUGGUCCCAGAUCUGUUACCCCUAUAAACCCAGAUCCUUGCACAUCUUAGGACCGAGGUGUGAGAAUGAAGGGAGACAGUGAAGGGAAUGGGAGUGUGCGCCCCCCUCAGCUGACUGUCACGGGGCAGCAUCUCAGCCGGGGGUGUGGCUCUGGGGCACGUUCCCUUCUGCACCAGGCAGGCGUGUGGUCACUCAGAAACAACUACAUCCGACCACUGUGCCAGCCAGCGGAAGUCACCUCUGAUUUACACUUAAUUAAAGCAGCUGCUACUUGGAAACCUAAGUCCAGAGUUGAACCUCUCCCCAGAAAUUCUGCUGGAAUUGCCAGCAGGAUAGCAGCUCCACAGGAGAUUCCCCCCAGGUUUUACUCACAGAGAAAGUAGAGCAAGCAAACGGAACUCUGUCCUGCAGGCCUUCAACAGCAGGUGGCUCUUAUGUUAAUUAAAGCGCACGGAUGGGUCUGAACAUGCCUUAAUAAACAGAGCUAACUUUUGCAGCUCAGAUAAAAUUAACUAUGCAUUUGGAAUUUGGAAGGGCAUGAAGGAGAAUUCUGUGACAAAAGCCACAAACGGGGGCUUCCCUGGUGGCGCAGUGGUUAAGAAUCCACCUGCCAGGGCUUCCCUGGUGGCGCAGCGGUUGAGAGUCCGCCUGCCGAUGCAGGGGACACAGGUUCGUGCCCCGGUCCGGGAGGAUCCCACAUGCCGCGGAGCGGCUGGGCCCGUGAGCCAUGGCCGCUGAGCCUGCGCGUCCGGAGCCUGUGCUCCGCAACGGGAGAGGCCACAACAGUGAGAGGCCCGCGCACCAGACAAAAAAAAAAGCCACAAACGGAUCCCUCAACUUGGCGGUGCAGGUACGGCAGGCAGCACCUUGCACUGGGUGUCCCCCGGUUCAGAGUACCCAAGGGGAUGUCCCUGUGGGGAGGGCCGCUUGUGUAAAGCACUCCAUUUGCUCGACGAGGCCCCACCUGAGGCCUUGGGGUGAGGACGCUCCCUCCGUCCCUGCCGCCUCCAGCCUCCGGAAUGUGAGGCUGUCCUAGAGGCGGGAUCCCAGCUAAGGAUGCUUUCCAGCGUCAGCGCUGAGAAAAUAAGAAAUACCACAGUGUAAGCCAACUUGUCCUGAGACAGGAACCAAGCGUGCUGGUUUCUAGACCUUCAGAGGUAACACGUGCUUGGUCUGGCUGUAACGCUUCAAUGCUGGGAGACCAAGCACAUGGCUUUCGUUCUCCAGGUGGAGCUGGCGUAGCUCGCUUUACCUCUGCCUGCUGCCACCAAGCAGCUGUCACCUCCGUCCCUCCAUCCCCAGCCUCACCCAACAUCUCAAGUCCCUGGGCACAGCAAAUGUGCCACCCAACAUCCAGGAGCAAAGGCGACAGGCUGGAAGGAGCCACAAAGAUGACAAACCUCGGACCAGCAGACACUGGAGCUCAGCGAGCUCAACCCCCAAGCCCACAGCCUUGAGGGCUUCCCUGGUGGCGCAGUGGUUGAGAGUCCGCCUGCCGAUGCAGGGGACGCGGGUUCGUGCCCCGGUCCGGGAAGAUCCCACAUGCCGCGGAGCGGCUGGGCCCAUGAGCCAUGGCCGCUGAGCCUGCGCGUCUGGAGCCUGUGCUCCGCAGCGGGAGAGGCCACAACAGUGAGAGGCCUGCGUACCGCAAAAAAAAAAAAAAAAAAAAAACCCAC